CUACGCACUCCUACGGGAGGCAGCAGUGGGGAAUAUUGCACAAUGGGCGCAAGCCUGAUGCAGCCAUGCCGCGUGUGUGAAGAAGGCCUUCGGGUUGUAAAGCACUUUCAGUCGUGAGGAAGGUGGUAGUGUUAAUAGCACUAUCAUUUGACGUUAGCGACAGAAGAAGCACCGGCUAACUCCGUGCCAGCAGCCGCGGUAAUACGGAGGGUGCGAGCGUUAAUCGGAAUUACUGGGCGUAAAGCGCAUGCAGGUGGUUUGUUAAGUCAGAUGUGAAAGCCCCGGGGCUCAACCUCGGAAUAGCAUUUGAAACUGGCAGACUAGAGUACUGUAGAGGGGGUAGAAUUUCAGGUGUAGCGGUGAAAUGCGUAGAGAUCUGAAGGAAUACCGGUGGCGAAGGCGGCCCCCUGGACAGAUACUGACACUCAGAUGCGAAAGCGUGGGGAGCAAACAGGAUUAGAUACCCUGGUAG
rnacentral:rRNA from 1 species